AUUGAACGCUGGCGGCAUGCCUUACACAUGCAAGUCGAACGGCAGCACGGAGCUUGCUCUGGUGGCGAGUGGCGAACGGGUGAGUAAUAUAUCGGAACGUACCCUAGAGUGGGGGAUAACGUAGCGAAAGUUACGCUAAUACCGCAUACGAUCUAAGGAUGAAAGUGGGGGAUCGCAAGACCUCAUGCUCGUGGAGCGGCCGAUAUCUGAUUAGCUAGUUGGUAGGGUAAAAGCCUACCAAGGCAUCGAUCAGUAGCUGGUCUGAGAGGACGACCAGCCACACUGGAACUGAGACACGGUCCAGACUCCUACGGGAGGCAGCAGUGGGGAAUUUUGGACAAUGGGCGAAAGCCUGAUCCAGCAAUGCCGCGUGAGUGAAGAAGGCCUUCGGGUUGUAAAGCUCUUUUGUCAGGGAAGAAACGGUGAAAGCUAAUAUCUUUUGCUAAUGACGGUACCUGAAGAAUAAGCACCGGCUAACUACGUGCCAGCAGCCGCGGUAAUACGUAGGGUGCAAGCGUUAAUCGGAAUUACUGGGCGUAAAGCGUGCGCAGGCGGUUUUGUAAGUCUGAUGUGAAAUCCCCGGGCUCAACCUGGGAAUUGCAUUGGAGACUGCAAGGCUAGAAUCUGGCAGAGGGGGGUAGAAUUCCACGUGUAGCAGUGAAAUGCGUAGAUAUGUGGAGGAACACCGAUGGCGAAGGCAGCCCCCUGGGUCAAGAUUGACGCUCAUGCACGAAAGCGUGGGGAGCAAACAGGAUUAGAUACCCUGGUAGUCCACGCCCUAAACGAUGUCUACUAGUUGUCGGGUCUUAAUUGACUUGGUAACGCAGCUAACGCGUGAAGUAGACCGCCUGGGGAGUACGGUCGCAAGAUUAAAACUCAAAGGAAUUGACGGGGACCCGCACAAGCGGUGGAUGAUGUGGAUUAAUUCGAUGCAACGCGAAAAACCUUACCUACCCUUGACAUGGCUGGAAUCCUUGAGAGAUCAGGGAGUGCUCGAAAGAGAACCAGUACACAGGUGCUGCAUGGCUGUCGUCAGCUCGUGUCGUGAGAUGUUGGGUUAAGUCCCGCAACGGGCGCAACCCUUGUCAUUAGUUGCUACGAAAGGGCACUCUAAUGAGACUGCCGGUGACAAACCGGAGGAAGGUGGGGAUGACGUCAAGUCCUCAUGGCCCUUAUGGGUAGGGCUUCACACGUCAUACAAUGGUACAUACAGAGCGCCGCCAACCCGCGAGGGGGAGCUAAUCGCAGAAAGUGUAUCGUAGUCCGGAUUGUAGUCUGCAACUCGACUGCAUGAAGUUGGAAUCGCUAGUAAUCGCGGAUCAGCAUGUCGCGGUGAAUACGUUCCCGGGUCU
rnacentral:rRNA from 1 species